rnacentral:rRNA from 1 species
UACGUAGGGCGCAAGCGUUGUCCGGAAUUAUUGGGCGUAAAGAGCUCGUAGGCGGCUUGUCAAGUCGGUUGUGAAAGCCCGGGGCUUAACCCCGGGUCUGCAGUCGAUACGGGCAGGCUAGAGUGUGGUAGGGGAGAUCGGAAUUCCUGGUGUAGCGGUGAAAUGCGCAGAUAUCAGGAGGAACACCGGUGGCGAAGGCGGAUCUCUGGGCCAUUACUGACGCUGAGGAGCGAAAGCGUGGGGAGCGAACAGG